AUACGGAGGAUCUGAGCGUUAUCCGGAUUUAUUGGGUUUAAAGGGUGCGCAGGCGGGAGAUUAAGUCGGCGGUGAAAUUUUUCGGCUCAACCGGAAAAGUGCCUUUGAAACUGGUCGGCUUGUGUGUGGGUGAGGGAGGCGGGAUUUGUGGUGUAGCGGGGAAAUGCAUAGAUAUCACGAGGAACUCCGAUCGCGCAGGCAGCUUACCUGGCCAUAACUGACGCUCAAGCACGAAGGCGUGGGGAUCAAACAGGAUUAGAUACCCUGGUAGUCCACGCAGUAAACGAUGAUUACUGGCUGUUUGCGAUACAAUGUAAGCGGCUGAGCGAAAGCGUUAAGUAAUCCACCUGGGGAGUACGUUCGCAAGAAUGAAACUCAAAGGAAUUGACGGGG
rnacentral:rRNA from 1 species